AAUCAACGCUGGCGGCGUGCCUAACACAUGCAAGUCGAACGANAAAGGGGACUUCGGUCCCUGAGUACAGUGGCGCACGGGUGAGUAACACGUGACUUAUCUACCCUCGAAGUGGGGAAUAACUUCGGGAAACCGAGGCUAAUACCGCAUAAUACCCACGGGUCAAAGGAGCAAUUCGCUUGAGGAGGAGGUCGCGGCCCGAUUAGUUAGUUGGCGGGGUAAUGGCCCCCACCAAGACGGUGAUCGGUAUCCGGCCUGAGAGGGCGCACGGACACACUGGAACUGAAACACGGUCCAGACUCCUACGGGAGGCAGCAGUGGGGAAUUUUGCGCAAUGGGGGAAACCCUGACGCAGCAACGCCGCGUGGAGGAUGAAGUCUCUUGGGACGUAAACUCCUUUCGAUCGGGACGAUUAUGACGGUACCGGAAGAAGAAGCCCCGGCUAACUUCGUG
rnacentral:rRNA from 1 species